rnacentral:rRNA from 1 species
CCUACGGGGGGCAGCAGUGGGGAAUAUUGCACAAUGGGGGAAACCCUGAUGCAGCGACGCCGCGUGAGUGAAGAAGUAUCUCGGUACGUAAAGCUCUAUCAGCAGGGAAGAAAAAAAGUCUUUGGCUCUGGACGGUACCUGACUAAGAAGCCCCGGCUAACUACGUGCCAGCAGCCGCGGUAAUACGUAGGGGGCAAGCGUUAUCCGGAUUUACUGGGUGUAAAGGGAGCGUAGACGGCAGCGCAAGUCUGGAGUGAAAUGCCGGGGCUCAACCCCGGAGUCGUGCAUUGGAAACUGGGAGACUU